rnacentral:pre_miRNA from 1 species
GUGUGUGUGUGUGUGUGUGUGUGUGUGUGUGUGUGUGUGUGGUCUGAGUGAGUGUGUUCUCACUCACUCAGACCACACACACACACACACACACACACACACACAGA